CACCCUCCAACACCUCCACGGCCAGAGGCUGGAAUUGUUUACAUGACACCGCUAAUGCGAGCAGCCGCGCAUUACUAAUUGCCUUUGCCGGUGGUAGCUGGUCCCCUGCAGGAAGGUGAGGUACCGGAGGUCCCCGGCGACAUCGAGGGGUCCCCGGCGUAUAGGAUACGAGCCAUUCUGGACUCAAGACGCCGGGUGAGAGGCCUGCAGUACCUCGUGGACUGGGAGGGGUACGGUCCGGAGGAGAGAUGCUGGGUACCGGUGGGGGACAUUUUGGAUCCGUCCCUCUUGAGGGAUUUUCACCGCCUCCAUCCGGAUCGCCCUGCUCCUCGCCCUCCGGGUCGUCCUCGAGGCCGGAGUCGGCGCGCUGCGGGAGCCGCGCGUCGGGAGGGGGGUACUGUUACGAAUCCCGCCGAGGAUGGUGCCUCUUCCCGUUCGGGCGGCAUUCGGCGGUCGUCGUCUCCGGUCUACUAGCUGCCACCGAUCCCCUUUUCUGUUUUCUUUUGAGUUGGUCUAAUUUGUUUCACCUGUUUUGUGUUUAGGUUAGGGGGUAUUUAAACCCAGUUGGCCCGCCGACUUUUGUGCGGGCUUGUUUUUCUGUUUCGUGUUGGUGGUGUUCGUUAGUGGAUUUCUGUAUACUUUCUCUUGGAAUGUACUUUUACGCGCCCGGUGUUUUGUGUGGCGUCGCCUUUCAUGUAUUUGAUUUUUAGUGGAGGAAUAAAUAUCCACGUAUUGAAGAUUA